rnacentral:lncRNA from 1 species
CUAAGUGUGGGCAGUCCGUGCGCUGCAAAAACGGAAAAUACAGCACUCUGUGGAGGCUUUUCCAACCCAAGUGAUGCUCCCUGGACUUGUGCCAAUUGUGGUCAUAUCCCUAUUCAGCACUCAUGCCAAUCUGGCCCAUGCAGAAAACGACAGCAAACAUGAAAGGCCAUUGGUGAAAGAGGCCCUGGCACGGGCAAGGCAGCUGGUCUCCUUGGCGUAUCAUCGCUCUAGAAGCAGGUAUGAAUUUCCAGGUGAUGCAGGUGGCAGAGAGCAUCUU